UGAGCUUAAGCUUUCAACUAACUCAUUUGGAUUAUAUAAUGGAAAAUCCAAUUAUCUAGGUGUGUAUAGAGUCUGAAGUUCUCUGUUCUCCAAAUACCCAGAGAAGACAAAACUAUUAAAUGCAAACAUAGAAGAAACCUUUGCCUAAAGAAAAUUCUGUAUUGAUCAGGUGCUCAGAAAAGUCUGGUGGUAGACAGCUGGAGAUGAUAGUCAUAGGUUAUGUAGAAUUUUCAGAGUGGCUUCAGUGAAGAGAGAAUGUAACCGGCC
rnacentral:lncRNA from 1 species